CGGAGGGUUAGCGUUGUUCGGAAUGACUGGGCGUAAAGCGCGCGUAGGCGGAUCGUCAAGUCGGGUGAAUCCCGGGCUCAACCCCGGAAUGGCCUUCGAGACUGUCGGUCUUGAGUUCGAGAGAGGUGAGUGGAAUUCCGAGUGUAGAGGUGAAAUUCGUAGAUAUUCGGAGGAACACCAGUGGCGAAGGCGGCUCACUGGCUCGACACUGACGCUGAGGUGCGAAAGCGUGGGGAGCAAACAGGAUU
rnacentral:rRNA from 1 species